GUGCUCAUUUCGGCAGCACAUAUACUAAACUUGGAAUGAUACAGAGAGAAUUAGCAUGGCCCCUGCAGGAGGAUGACACACAAAUUUGUGAAGCGUUUCAUAUUUUU
rfam:Pteropus alecto contig45677, whole genome shotgun sequence.